AUAUCUCUCUGUACGGGAAGGAUGAGAAGCUUCGACUAAGGUUCGAUUCGAGCGUCAGCGAGAAAGCGUUGCCGCAGGCAACGACCCGAAGGGCGA
rnacentral:sRNA from 1 species